CCAGGCCGGCUGUGAGGACGAAGAGCUUUAAUUCUUUCUAUCCGCUUGAAAGAACAUUACCAAAUUUACACAAUGGAGGCCGUCAAGGCGUUUAACGGCGAGUUGUACUCAUUGAAUGAAUACAAGCCACCUAUCUCCAAAGCCAAGAUGACCCAGAUUACAAAGUCAGCAAUUAAAGCUAUAAAGAUUUAUACUAGGGGUGUAACGAUUCACCAGUGCCAUGGUUUGGUACAGUUCACAAUACUGGAGCCACG
rnacentral:lncRNA from 1 species